rnacentral:rRNA from 1 species
UAGGUGGCUUGAUAAGUCAGAUGUGAAAUCCCCGGGCUUAACCUGGGAACUGCAUCUGAAACUGUUAGGCUAGAGUAGGUGAGAGGGAAGUAGAAUUUCAGGUGUAGCGGUGAAAUGCGUAGAGAUCUGAAGGAAUACCGAUGGCGAAGGCAGCUUCCUGGCAUCAUACUGACACUGAGGCUCGAAAGCGUGGGUAGCAAACAGGAUUAGAUACCCUGGUAGUCCACGCCGUAAACGAUGUCUACUAGUCGUUGGGUCCCUUGAGGACUUAGUGACGCAGCUAACGCAAUAAGUAGACCGCCUGGGGAGUACGGCCGCAAGGUUAAAACUCAAAUGAAUUGACGGGGGCCCGCACAAGCGGUGGAGCAUGUGGUUUAAUUCGAUGCAACGCGAAGAACCUUACCUGGUCUUGACAUAUCUAGAAUCCUGCAGAGAUGCGGGAGUGCCUUCGGGAAUUAGAAUACAGGUGCUGCAUGGCUGUCGUCAGCUCGUGUCGUGAGAUGUUGGGUUAAGUCCCGCAACGAGCGCAACCCUUGUCCUUAGUUACCAGCGGGUUAAGCCGGGAACUCUAAGGAUACUGCCAGUGACAAACUGGAGGAAGGCGGGGACGACGUCAAGUCAUCAUGGCCCUUACGACCAGGGCUACACACGUGCUACAAUGGUAGGUACAGAGGGCAGCUACACAGCGAUGUGAUGCGAAUCUCAAAAAGCCUAUCGUAGUCCAGAUUGGAGUCUGCAACUCGACUCCAUGAAGUAGGAAUCGCUAGUAAUCGCGGAUCAGAAUGCCGCGGUGAAUACGUUCCUCGGGCCUUGUACACACCCCCCGUCACACCAUGGGAGUUGCUCUACCGUUAGAUCGAUAGUCAGUCAGUCGUAACAAGGUACCCACUAGAGUGA